rnacentral:rRNA from 1 species
AAACCAGCAUCUCAAGUGGUCAGGAUGAUUAUUGGGCCUAAAGCAUCCGUAGCCUGCUUUGUCAGUUUUCGGUUAAAUCCAUACGCUCAACGUAUGGGCUGCCGGAAAUACUGCAUAGCUAGGGAGUGGGAGAGGUAGACGGUACUCGGGAGGAAGGGGUAAAAUCCUUUGAUCUCUCGAUGACCACCUGUGGCGAAGGCGGUCUACCAGAACACGUCCGACGGUGAGGGAUGAAAGCUGGGGGAGCAAACCGGAUUAGAAACCCGGGUAGUCC